rnacentral:rRNA from 1 species
AGUGAACGCUGGCGGCGUGCUUAACACAUGCAAGUCGAACGAGAACGGAAUAUAGCUUGCUAUAUUUGUCAGCUAAGUGGCGCACGGGUGAGUAAUGUAUAGAUAACCUGCCCUUAAGAAAGGAAUAACAGUUGGAAACGACUGCUAAUGCCCUAUAUGCCUUUAAUACAUAAGUAUGCAAGGGAAACGCUUUAGUGCUUAAGGAUGGGUCUGUAUGGUAUCAGCUUGUUGGUGAGGUAAUGGCUCACCAAGGCUAUGACGCCUAACUGGUUUGAGAGGAUGAUCAGUCACACUGGAACUGGGCCACGGUCCAGAAUCCUACGGGAGGCAGCAGUGGGGAAUAUUGCACAAUGGACGAAAGUCUGAUGCAGCAACGCCGCGUGGAGGAUGACACAUUUCGGUGCGUAAACUCCUUUUAUAUAGGAAGAUAAUGACGGUACUAUAUGAAUGAGCACCGGCUAACUCCGUGCCAGCCGCCGCAGUAA